UUUAUAUAAUAAACAAUUAUAUAUUGAGUAUUUAAUUUGUCAGAAAGACUCUAGUCACUAUAUUAUGAUUUAUAUAAUUGUUAGAAAUGAAAAUGUUGUUCAGGAUUUGAUCUCUUUCUGGUAUAAAGUCAUAAUUGAUGAUGUAAUCAGUGGCCUAGGUUGUAAAAUCUCUCUCAAUAAAGAAAAUACUUUGAUGAAUAUAAUAGUAUUUAAUAAUCAGCUUCAAUCUGCUGUCAGAUGUUUUCCGAGCGUCUUUCAUCUCAAUGAUUCAGAAAACAGGGAUCCUGAAUCUGGUGUCCAAAUGCAGCUCAGAUCUGAUGAAUCUGAUUCACUGAAUCAAUCUGUGUUGAGGAGCUCAGAAUGAACGUUCAGCACUGAGUGUUUGAGUAAAUAUGAAACGUGAUGGGAUGAUCCUGAUCAUCAUCUGGACAUGAAGCUGUUUAUAUUGUCAGUCUUCAAGCAGGUCUCAAAGAAUCAGAAGAAUCAAGUUGAUCUUGUGUUCAGAUCAGUGCAACACCUCAGCCCUUCUCAACUCUCAUUGUUUCAGCUCAUUCACACAGUUUUGAAGUAUGUAUUAAUGGUUUCACUGUGGGCAUUUAGCUUUUAAUUCCUCCAGACAAGACCGUGUCACUCAUUUACUGAUAAUGGUUCUGUACUCUGUGUAAAUGUAAUGCAGCUGCUGAUGUAAUAAAAAGAAAAACUGUGCAAAAGAUGUGAUUUUAAACCAUUGCUAUUCUUAAAUCUCAUGAAAUGGUUGAGCGGUUGAGGAGGAUGUUUAAUGUGUUUUCAGCAGCAUCUCAGAUGUUGGUUCACAGAUCUUCAGCUCUGAAACCCAGUGAUCUGCCUGAAUAGUCAGCAUUGUAGAAAACUGUCUAUGUAGGGAGCAGUGUUGGGUGUAACGUGUUACUAAGUAAAUUAAAUUAAAUGACUUAUCCACUGGAAAAGUUAAAGUAAGGGAUUACUGCUCAUUUUUAGGUAAUUUCAUUACAGUUACUUAUAAAGUACUUGCGUUACAUACAGUAAAUAAUUUCAACAGUUCUAAAAUCAAUAUUGAAUUUGAAAUCUAAAUUUACCGUCUAAAGAUAAUUUAAUGCAGCGUCUUUAACCCUCUGCGCGCCAGCGCAUUCACUUUCAGUUUUUCCUGAUUCACAGAUAAACCUUAAAUACUCAGAUACAGAUAAGGCUAAAAUCAAUCGAAUCUAAAAAGGACCUACUUUUAUUUGUGUUCACUGACAAUAACAACAAAACAUUGUGCUUUUGUAAAAUAAAAAAUUAAUAACCGUGCACUUUCUGCCAUCUAGGUCUCCAUGAGCAACUUUCUACACGUCACAAACUCAGGGAAUAUUUGACACAGAGACAUGAGAAAUAUAUCUAUAGAAAGCCUGUGUCUACUUUUUAAUGAAUUCAAAUAGAAAACGAAUAUUAUCUGAUUAAACUAAAGCGAGGUCAGGCGGAGGGUGAACCCACUCCAGGGUAAGACUAAAAGCAGUUAUUAAACAUCAUAAAACCGUCUCUUUAGGCACCAGCCAUACAUGGGUGUCAUGUCUAAUAAAAUAUGUUCAGUGGGACUGAAUUUGUAUUGAACGUGAUUAAGAUUUAAUAAAAACAUUAGAAAUUUAUAAUUAGACUAUAUAAUGUUCCCUUUUCAUGGUUAUUCAAACAGCGAAUAAAUUAUAGCUAACGUUAUAGAAAUGAACUGACAUUAUCACUAACUUCAGAGGUUUCAUUCAUUCAAAGUGAUUUCUGAGCCAAGUGGAUUUUAAAUGCAGCUUCCAAAAGACGAAAAUAGCCGGAUAAUAUUUUUUUAUAUUUGAUACAAUUACACCGGUGUGAUUAGAUCGUUCAGUGCGGCUCAGCAUCAGCUGCUAC
ensembl:lncRNA